GUGUUAGCUUCAGCAGCACAGACACUAAAAUUGGAAUGAUAAGAAGAAGAUUAGCAGGGCCCCUGGGCAAGGAUGACACUCAGAGUCCCUUGAAGCAUUCCAAAAGGGA